GACGAACGCUGGCGGCGUGCUUAACACAUGCAAGUCGAACGGAAAGGCCCUGCUUUUGUGGGGUGCUCGAGUGGCGAACGGGUGAGUAACACGUGAGUAACCUGCCCUUGACUUUGGGAUAACUUCAGGAAACUGGGGCUAAUACCGGAUAGGAGCUCCUGCUGCAUGGUGGGGGUUGGAAAGUUUCGGCGGUUGGGGAUGGACUCGCGGCUUAUCAGCUUGUUGGUGGGGUAGUGGCUUACCAAGGCUUUGACGGGUAGCCGGCCUGAGAGGGUGACCGGCCACAUUGGGACUGAGAUACGGCCCAGACGACUACGGGAGGCAGCAGUGGGGAAUAUUGCACAAUGGGCGGAAGCCUGAUGCAGCAACGACGCGUGCGGGAUGACGGCCUUCGGGUUGUAAACCGCUUUCGCCUGUGAAGAAGAGUGAGUGACGGUAAUGGGUAAAGAAGCACCGGCUAACUACGUG
rnacentral:rRNA from 1 species